UAUUUUGGUAAAUAAAAAAAAAUUUGUAAUAUUUUCGUAAAUAAAAAAAAAGUUGUACUAUUUUGGUAAAUUUUUAUUUUUUUAUAAUAUUUAGGUAAAAAACCCGGCAGAAAUGAAACAACAGAAAAUCAAAGAAAAAAUGGAAACUAAAACGUGCCCCUGUCCAGUCGAAUUAAUAGACUGCCACCCCCACUUCCCAAAGUAUACGUUUUGUUGUCGGUUGCAAUCCUUUAGAGAUUUCUGAUGCUGUUCAGAGAAAAAAAAACACCAUUGAGUAUCUUUUCCGUCUGUGAAAUAAUCACACCGUCUCUUCAAUCUGGUUCCUGUCCCGAUCCCAACGAAUGCAUCGCAUAAGGCGGCACUGCGCGUUCCAGGUAAACCUCCUCACCUCUGUUAAGGAUUUAUGUGGCGCUUAUAUGUGCCGUUUGGUUUGCGUAUCUUGAUAUGCGUCUAAAAUAGAUCUUGUGGAAAUGAUUCUUGCUUUGGUGAAUAUCUCUAAUACAAGCUCCUAUUUUUGACUUAUCUUCAACAUUGGACUGACACUUUUUGAUAACUAUCAAUGUAUCCCCUUCUAUUUCGACUGCAUCCACACCCAUCCUCAUCCCCAUCCCCAUCCCCAACCUCACUGCUUGAGAGCAUGCAAAAGCUUCCACAGCAAAUGAAGAGGCUAUCCGAUUUGCCAGAACCGAUUUGGAGACAAUCACCUCCCCCCUUUCAUUCCUAGCCACCGGCCCCGAAGCAGAUCUAAAAAGUUGUUGGCUAAAAGCCGCAUCAAAAUUAAUGCGAACUACAUGAUUCUCUAGGGUUCUCCAUUCCGAAGAGGAAAGGUGUUUUGUAAGGCUUCUGUUACUGAGGGCUUCAUUCUCCUGCACAAAACUCAUUAUUUUGUCUGCAAUCUCCUUUCCAAAACUGUUCUGUCCCUCAUGAAUUUUUUUAUUUCUCUCACUCCGGAUAACCCAAAGUGCGUAGCAGAAUAAUCGACAUUAUCUGUUCGAACCAUCUUCAAACACCCAGGUGAGCCACUCCUAGUUACCUAUAUUGGGGUUAUAUAUCGCCCAUGCCAGGUUUAAAUAUGUUCACACUUCUGUUGAAACAGGACAUUUUCGAAAUACAUGCACAGAGGUUUCCACUCCCAAACCACACAUUGGGCAUACUGUACUUGAUCCACAUUAGAACGCAGAAUGAGUGUGGAAGAAUCCGGACGCGGAUUGUAAAGUUUAUUCAAGUCACGGAUUCAAGUCACGGAUUUGACUUAGGGCUCUAGACGUUUGGAAAAAAAAUUUAGAUUUUGACACAAUUUGAAAUGUAAAGUCAGAUAAAAUAAUUAAAAUAAAUAACUAAAAUAAAUAAAAUAAAAUAAUAAAUUUACGAUUAAAACAAGAAAGAAAACUUGACAAGAAAAAAUUUGAAGAUGAUUCUCAAAAUCUGAAAAGAUUGUUAAAACUCUUCUAAAAGAAAUUCAAGAGAAAUUUAUUAAAAAAAACUUAAAAAGAAUUUAUUAACUCAUAAGAGAAGUUGAAUAAUAAUGAUUUGAUUGUAUUGUAUACAAUGCAAAGGUCUAGGUUAGUUAAAUAAAUCUAAAUAAAACUUUUAAGUAUACUAGAAUGAAGAAAGGAUAUUUGGCUUUUGUUUUCCUUCAUUGCCUUGGCUCACACAAGAAAAAUUGGGAAGGUUUUCUUUGUGAUUUUUGUUGGAUUUUUUUAAUAAGCAAUGACAAAUAUGAAAAAACCCACUUGUUAGAUUGAUAAAUUACACAAGAAAAAUUGGGAAGGUUUUCUUUGUGAUUUUUGUUGGAUUUUUUUAAUAAGCAAUGACAAAUAUGAAAAAAUCCGCUUGUUAGAUUGAUAAAUUGAUGAAAUUUUAGUGUAGAAACAUGUUGAAUAUUAAGUUAAAAAACCAUGAAAUAUUAGUUGUUGAAUUUAGGUUUUAUGUUACACAUGUUAGAAUUAAAGUGGGUGAUGUUGGAAUACAAUUUAAACUUUGAGGCCAUUUUUAAAUAACUAAGGACUUAUUUAUAAUAAAUGAGAUUUAUGAGAUUUAUUAGUAAAUAAUGAUAGUCUGAGGUCUUUAGAGAAUAGCUAUAAAUUCGAAUUUAGAUUCGGACCUGUAAAUAGUAAAAUAUGAGAAUUUUAGAUAAUAUGAUUUAAAGGGACUAAAGUGAAAAGUUUGAAUAAUAUAUUUAAUGAUGAGAAAUUAAUAUCGUUUCCACACUCGUGUCAUUGAACAAGGUUGAAAACGAGGUCAAAACGUCAAGGAACAAGAUAAAGAUGAGAACAAACGAUGAGCAAAUAAUUCGCUUUGUGCUAACAUAAUUUUCCUUUAUGUCAUUAAAUGAUUAGUAUUUUAGAUCGUGAAUUCAUUGGUAUUAAAUGUAACAGCUCGGUUUUAGUUAAAUCGGAAUAGUGGUUUUGGAACCACUAAUCCGAGGUUAAAAAAUUAGUUUAAUAAUAUUUUUGAUGUUUACAGCAUGUGAUUAUAUAUGUGUGAAAGUUUCGUGAUUUAAUUUUAUCAUUUAAUAGCUCAAUUUGAGAAAAAAGACUUAAUCGUGUAAAAUGCAAAAGUGGCAUUCUUUAUGUUAAAAGUGUUUAAUUGCUAUGAUUUAUUAAACCAAAGGUCCUUAUGAUGAUAUUAGACCAUUGGUUGUGUAAGUGGACAUUUAUGGACAACCAUUAUAUGAUUUGCAUGUUAUAUCAUUAAGGGUAAUUAAGUAAUUUGGUAUUUAAGUUAAUAAAAUUAAAACAAAACAAAUGAAAUUCAUUUUGUUCAUCUUAGUUGACCAAAUUUGAAGAAGGAGAAGCCAUUAAAAUACCUUGAACAUUCAACCAUUGCAUGAUUCAUUAGUAAGUUCGUUUUUACUUGGUUUUUGAUGAUUUUUACUUUUUUUAAGAUCAUUACUUCGUAUACUAGCUAGCCCGUGUCUUAAUUUUCAAAUUUUUUGAUGAUUUUGUGAAAUGUCAUUGAUGAAUAUUCAAGCUUUUUGUUGUUUGAUGAUGGAAAAUAAAUAUUUGAUGUUAGAUUAUCAUGUUUUAUUAAGUGAUUUUUGAUAAAAAUGCUUAUUAAGGAUUAAAUUGUGAAAUUCGUAAAUUGAGGGGUUAAAAUGUGAUAUCAAUAGAAUUUAUGGAUUGCGAUGGACAUAAGGAAGAUUUGGACAAGCAUGAGUAUAUUGAAAUUUUUUGUUAUUUUGAAAUAGGGACUAAAUUAUAAAAAUGUAAAAUUUUGGGGGCAAAAGUGUAAACGUGCCCAAAUGUGUGUUUUGGAUUAAAUUGAAUAAAGUAGUGAUUGAAUAAUCUGAAUUUGAUAUUAUAUAGAUCAAGAAAAGCAGAAAUCAGAGUUAGAUUGGGGAAAGUCGAAAGUUAUCGAGUAAUUGAUCUAAUUCGCCAAUUCCGAAUACGAGGUAAGUUCGUAAGUAAAUAAAUAUUUUUAAAAUUUAAAUAUAAAUGUUAUAUACAUUGCUGAAAUUAAUUCGUACAUGGUUAUAUAUUGUCGAUAUUGAAUUGUUUAUGAAUAUAGGAUGCUGAAUUGGAUUUGUAUAUGAUUAUAUAUUGCCGGACUUGAUUCAUGAAUGGUUAUACCUUGUUGAAUUGUUUGGUAUAUGGAUGUAAGUUGUCGAAUUGAUUCGUAUAUGUUGUACCUUGCUGAUAUUAAUUUGUACAUGGUUAUAUAUUGUCGAUAUUGAAUUGUUUAUGAAUAUAGGAUGCCGAAUUGGAUUUGUAUAUGAUUAUAUAUUGCCGAACUUGAUUCGUGAAUGGUUAUACCUUGCCGAAUUGUUUGGUAUAUGGAUAUAAGUUGUCGAAUUGAUUCGUAUAUGUUGUACCUUGCUGAAAUUAAUUUGUACAUGGUUAUAUAUUGUCGAUAUUGAAUUGUUUAUGAAUAUAGGAUGCCGAAUUGGAUUUGUAUAUGAUUAUAUAUUGUCGAACUUGAUUCGUGUAUGGUUAUACAUUGCCGAAUUGUUUGAUAUAUGGAUAUAAGUUGCUAAAUUGAUUCGUAUAUGGUUGUACAUUGCUGAAAUUAAUUCGUACAUGGUUAUAUAUUGUCAACAUUGAAUUGAUUAUGAAUAUAGAAUGCCGAAUUUGAUUUGUGUAUGAUUAUACAUUGCCGAACUUGAUUCGUAAAUGGUUAUACAUUGCCGAUGUAACAGCCCAAUUUUCAGUAGUGUCAGAACAAUGAUUUGAGAUCACUAAAUCCGAUGAAAAAGUUAGAAAAUUUAUUAAUUAAUAAUUAUAAGUUAAGUGUGAUUUUAGAAAUAUUUUUGAAUUAGUGAAUUUUGUGAUUUAAAAGAAAGUAUUAGGUAAAUUGGGUCGAAAAUGAGGUAUCGAGACCUCGAUAUUAUAAACUAAGUCGUAAAUAUUUUUAUAAAUAUUUACGGAGUGUCAUUAGGGUAGUAUUAAAGUUUCGUUAAGAAAUUUUAACGUUUCGAUGGUUACUUGAUUAAAAAGGGACAAAAAAUGAAAAAAAUGUAUUCCCGAGACUCCGUUUCGGUAAAUCAGAUUCGUAAAUAUUUAUUAUAAAUAUUUACGAAGUUAGUUGUGUGGUUAAUUAGGUUUUAAUUAAGUGAAUUUGUCUAAAUUGAGGUUAAUUAUGAAAAAGGAUUAAAUUGCAAUAGAGAUAAAAGUUUAAUUAUAGAUUAAAGAAAAGUUAAAAGGACGAAAUGGGAAAUUAUGCAUUUUUCUAAAGUUGAGUCGGCAUUGCAUGAUAAAAAUCUUAGAUUUUUUUUUAAAGUAUGUUAUUAUUUUAUUAUAUUGUAAAUUAUAUUAAUUAUAUUAUAUUAUUAUAUUUUAAAUAAACAAAAAAAUUGUUGACAAAUGUAUGGUGCAUAUGAUGACAUGUGGAAAAAUGAAAUACAUAUAUUAGUAAUUAUUACAUACUUACUUAUUAUUUAAGUAAAUAAUUUUAUAUUAUUAUUUUAUUGUUAUUAUAUUAAACUAAUUAAAUAAAAGAAAUAAAAGAUAGAAAAGGGGGAUAAAAACGGAAUAGGCAAACGAAACAGAGAAAGAAAGAAGGAAAAGAAAGAAAGAAAAGAGAAAAUUGAGGUUUUGAGGUUCCAAGCUCAAUUGCUAAUGUCGUGCAAGAGUCAUUGUCCGAGAAAGGAAAAGGAAAAAGGUGGACAAGAAGUGACUCGAGAGAAAUUUCGGUUAGUAUUACCCUAAUUCGAAUUUAUUUAUUCAUUGUUGAAAUUUAAAUUAAUAUACAUUGUAGUAGGCCCAGAUUAGCCUGGGCCCGUGUGAAAUAAACAAUGAGGCACAACUCAGUUUUUUACGAGCCCAACAAGCAGCCCACAACAUUUUCAGCAGAAACCCUAAACAAUUUAACCCAAACCCUAGCCGCAGCAAGCCCCGCCUCCAUCAAACUCCCCAGGCGCCGCACGUCUCGGGGCCAACUGCCUUCCCCGCGUCGUGCUCUUCACGAUUUCCUGCAAAAGUGGACUAGAAAUAGUCUAAAAAGGAGAAAAUACUGUAAAUGGCUUAUAUUUUUAGGCUAUAUAAAGGGUAUCUAUUUUGUAAACAAUGGGGGAAUUUUGGAGUGUAAAAAAACAGAGGAAGAUUAUUAAAAGAUCCUAAUUAACUAAAAUCAUUGCUCAGUUAACCUGGAAACCAACCAACCAACCAAACACCGUUACGGUACUUGAGCAAAGAUUAAGGACAUGGAUCAGAGAUUGGAAAAACUCGAACAGUGUUAGAAGGAGAUGCAAGACCGACUUCAGCUACAGGUGCAUGAGCGGUUAGAUAAGAUGUAACAGGAUAUAUCUGAGAAGAUGAGAGAAUCCCAAGAUGAUAUGAUGGCGAAGCUAACCAAACUGUUGACUGGAGGAGGUGAUAAGGGAAAGGGUCCCAUGGCUGAUGUCGAUGAACCACUCUAUCCUCCAGGCUUUACUCCUCCACAUGUUCGAACUCAAGCUGAAUAUCUGCACAAACCCACUGUCACAAUCAGGCCUUAGCAGUCUCAGGCCAGUGCUUCGAACUUUCAAGCUAGAUUGGGCUCUAACCCCGAAAACUACCCUGUUAACUCUACCAUUCCUGACUUCGAUGAAGUGGCUGAAAAGGAAAGAAUAAAUGAGGAGUUGCCAAAGCAGUUGGAGGAAAGGUGCAAAUGGCUCGAGGAGAAAUUCAAGGCGAUGGAAGUCACUGAAAGCUAUCGCGGGAUUGACGUUAAAGAGCUAAGCUUAGUUCCAGAUUUGGUACUCCCUCACAAGUUCAAGAUGCCAGAAUUCGAGUAGUACAAUUGGACAACUUGCCCAGAAGUUCAUAUCACCAUGUUCUGCAGGCGAAUGGCUGGAUAUGUUAGCAAUGACCAGCUAUUGGUACACUGUUUCCAAGAUAGUCUCACAGGGGCAGCAUCUAAAUGGUACAAUCAAUUGAGUCGUACCACGAUUAGUUCAUGGAGGGAUUUGGCACAGGCGUUCAUGAAACAGUAUAGUCAUGUAGCAGACAUGGCUCCUGAUAGAAUCACCCUUCAAAAUAUGGAGAAGAAGCCGAACGAAAGUUUUAGGCAGUACGCACAAAGAUGGAGGGAAGUCGCAGUCCAAGUUCAGCCACCACUCUUGGAGAAAGAAAUGACCAUGCUGUUUAUUAACACACUGAAGGCACCGUUCAUUACGCAUAUGUUAGGGAGUGCUACAAAAAGCUUUCCUGAUAUAGUUAUGAAUGGAGAGAUGAUCGAGAAUGCCAUAAGGAGUGGGAAAAUUGAUGCAGAUGAGAGUAACAAGAGGUCAGUCUUAAGAAGAAGAGAAAAUGAGGUGAACAGCACGAGUUACUCUAAACCAGUUACUGUGAGUCAGCCAAGAAAGGUGGCUACUAAUCAAUAGGGUUCAUCGAGACAGGAAGCUGGUAUAAGAUAAAACACUGAGAGGCCCCAAUUUACGCCAAUUUCGGUGUCACAUAGGGAGCUGUAUCAAAAUUUGUUUGAUGCACAUGUUGUUCCCCUUUUCAUGUGAAGCCUCUACAACCUUCGUAUCCUGAAUGGUAUGAUACGAACGCACAAUGUGAAUACCAUGCGGGAAUUACGGGACACUCGAUUGAGAAUUGCACUGCCUUUAAGAAGCAAGUUGAAAGACUUAUCAACAUGGGUAUUGUCAAGUUUGGUGACUCGUCUAGCGCAGGAAAUCCGCUACCCAAUCAUGAUUGAGGAUGGAUGGACUGCAAUGUAUGAAGAAGUGAUGAGAAAUUUGCACAUCGAUGCCAUAUAUGCAGACACAAUUAAAAGGGUCAUUGUUAGAUAUUCGCCUUUGAGGUGUUCUAAAUAAUUGGACUGUAGAGGAAACCCUUGAUGUAUUUAGAGUCUGCUAGAGUAAUGUUCAGAACACACUUGUUGCUUUUAGCCUAGAAGCAAUAAGAAUUUCUUUGUGAGAUAGGCUCACGUCUAAACAUUAUUAUUUUAAUGAAAUACAUUAUUGCAAUCAUCUUUGAGCAAAUGUUCUUUCAUUUUUUACGAUUUUUUUCCAUUCUUUUGGAUUUUUUCUGCCAAACCAUUCAUUCAUUCAUUCAUAUUAUUCUUUGUAUAUCCUUUAGCACCUACAAUAGGUCCUUGGAUAUCAAUGACAUGAGUGACACUGCUAUAGACUCAAAAUCACCUUUUGAGUGAGAUAUGUGUUUAGAAAGAUCUCAUGACUUUGAAGAUGUCAUAAAUUGUAGUUUAUCUCCUGACUUGUUGAGGAUGGUAAUGCAAUAAGAGAAACAAAUGAGACAAUAGAGACUGUGACCUUGAGGGAAUAUGCAUGACCGAAAAAAUAAAGCAAGACAUUGUUGGGUUACUUCAAGCAUUCAAAGAUGCCUUCGCAUGGUCAUACCAGGAUGUGCCCGGUUUAAGUGCUGUUAUUGCAAUCUGAACAACAGCACGAUACUAGAAAUUUACAUUAUGUUCAAGGCGAAUAUCAUGAAUGGUGCAAUGAAAACUCUACCGGGGCAAUGCCACUCUUUCCAGUUUAUCCCAUUUUUUUUCAUUGAAGUUGAAAUUCUUUCUCUUCAAGUUUUGGCUGAGCUGAAGUAGGACGAAGAUCCAAUCCUGAUACGGUUAGUUGAACUUAGUUGAAGAAAAAGGCUAGAAACUAUUCAUCAGGGUCAGAUAUACCAAGAAAUGAAUGAUGCGAGCCUACAGCAAAAGGUUUGUCCCAGAGAAUUCCACGAUGGGGACCUAAUGUUGAGGAAGGUCCUCACUCUACAAAAAAUAUAACGGAUGCCAAAUUGGGAAAAACCUUAUGUUAUAGAGAAGGUCUUUUCCAAAGGAGCUUUGAUUUUGAAGGAGAUGGAUAAUAAACCUGCAAAGUCCUGUAAACUCAGGUUCAGUCAGGAAAUACUCCGCUUAAAGAAUGAAAUGACCAAGGUAAAAACCCGCAUAGGGCACUUUGAGUCGAAAAAAUGACGAGAUGAAAAAUGAAAAAGUGAAAAUGAAAAUUGAAAAAUGGAAAAGUAAAAUGGAGAGGCUAAGGUGAAAACCCGCAAUGGGCGCCUUAGACCAAAGGGGAUUUGAGUUGAAAACCCGAAAAGGGCGACUCAAAUAUUGAUCAGAAUGUGGCAUGAGAUUAUCGGAGUAGCUCAAAUAUUGAUCAACAUGGGGCAUGCAGUGGUCUUGCUAUACCUGAAUCAACAGGAAAUGGUAGGCGACAUUUUGGGGCAUUGACAAAGUACUGUAGAUCUCCUAAACACAUGUUAAAUUCAGAAUGGUCUUUAGAAAGUCUGUACAGCAAAGUUCAAGCUACGAUAUCUGGGGCACCUAAUCCUUAUACUAUUUUUGUUAUUCUUGGAACACUUCAUUCAUUUACAAGAUAUGUAUUCCUAAAUCAAUUUCUUUGUUAUCCAUCUUUAUUACCCUUGACAAUUUAUUCAUUUCGAGCUAUGCUCAGAGCCAACUCUAUUCUUAUCCAUGAUCUUUUUACAAGCAUGUUGCAUUAGAAUAAUAAUUAAUAGAAACUUUCACAAAAGAAGUUUUGCAUAUUACUUUAGAAGUUUCUAAAUAAUAAAGUAACCUGAAACAGGGCUAUUAUGUAGAAUACAUCGAGCUUAAAUGUUGAAUAUCUAAGAGGGAGAGUCUAAAUUAGAACUAUCCCUUCACAUUUUGUUGUUGAAAACAUUGACUGAACAAGAUGACGAGGUCGUGUUGGUGAUAAGACUUCGAUAAUGGUGCAAGCGAUGUUCACCAAAUAAUGAGAAGAAGUUAAUCUUGGAGAAAAAAAUUUUCAUUUGUGCAUUGGCAUUUGGUAUGACGCCUAGUGAAUGGUAAAAGACCAAAGAGGGUCACAUCCUGUAUCCUUGAAUCGUGAUAGCAGAGGAUUGAGAAAAUGUCAAAUCUUUUUACUUUUGGGUUACAACGGGAGAAAGAUGGUACAAUUUGUACAUCCCAGCAGAUCAAACUUGGAGGUUUACAGUGGGGGGCAAUCUGGCUAAGUGCUUAUUGGGUUUGCUAGCUGAGCAAAAAGGAGCCAUAGCAUAUUGGCAAUAAAACUUUAAAUAAACUUUGAGUAAUGAUAACCUAAGUGACAAGGAGGAAUCAUUCUCGAAAAUGACAUUCUGCAUUCAUUCAAAUGUCAUUCAUACACGCCUAGUUAGGAGCAUGUGAUUCAUUCCAAUCAUGAUAUCCUAAUCACUAGGCAUAAUUAGGUUCAUCAUACAGGUCAUGUUCCACAGAGAACAGGUCGGUGGAAUCAUAAAGCCUUAUCUCCUUGAGCAGCAGUGGAGUAGGUUGAAAGAUAACAGAUCUUGUCUUCAUGUACUGGCGUGAAGUAGAUCAGAGAUACCAGAUCUUGUCUUCCCAUACUGGUGGCGAAGUAGAUCGAAGAAAGCAGAUCUUGUCUUCAUGUACUGGCGUGAAGUAGAUCAAAGAUAACAGACUUGCCUUCCCAUACUAGUGGCGAAGCAGAUCGAAGAAAACAGAUCUUGUCUUCAUGUAUUAGCGUGAAGUAGAUCAGAGGUACCAGAUCUUGCCUUCCCAUAUUGGUGGCGAAGCAGAUCAAGGAAAAAGCAGAUCUUGUCUUCAUGUAUUGGCGUGAAGUAGAUCAAAGACAACAGAUCUUGUCUCCCCAUACUAGUGGUGGAGUAGAUCGAAGAGAACAGAUCUUGUCUUCAUGUACUGGCGUGAAGUAGAUCAAAGAUAAUAGAUCUUGUCUUCCCAUACUGGUGGCAAAACAGAUCGAAGAAAGCAGAUCUUGUCUUCAUGUACUGGCGUGAAGUAGAUCAAAGAUAACAGAUCUUGCCUUCCCAUACUGGUGGCGAAGCAGAUCGAAGAAAGCAGAUCUUGUCUUCAUGUACUGGCGUGAAGUAGAUCAGAGAUACCAGAUCUUGCCUUCCCAUACUGGUGGCGAAGUAGAUCAGAAAGCAGAUCUUAUCUUCAUGUACUAGCGUGAAGUAGAUCAAAGGUACCAGAUCUUGUCUUCCCACACUGGUGGCGAAGUAGAUCGAAAAAAAUAGAUUUUGUCUUCAUGUACUGUAGUGGAGUAGAUCAAAGAUACCAGAUCUUGUCUUGCCACACUGGUGGCGAAGUAGAUCGAAGAAAGCAGAUCUUGUCUUCAUGUAUUGGCGUAAAGUAGAUCGAAGAUUACAGAUCUUAUCUCCCUAAGCAGUAGUGGAGCAGAUCGAGGAUGGCAGAUUUUACAUCCCUGAGGUUACAGCGGAGUACAUUGAAGCCAGUAAUUCUAUCUCCCUGGGCAGCAGUGGAAUAGAUUGAAGAUUACAGAUCUUAUCUCCCUAGGCAGUAGUGGAGUAGAUCGAAGAUGGCGAAUUUUACCUCCCUGAGGUUACAGUGGAGUACAUUGAAGCCAGUAAUUCUAUCUCCCUGGGCAGCAGUGGAAUAGAUUGAAGAUUACGGAUCUUAUCUCCCUAAGCAGUAGUGGGGCAGAUAAAAGAUGGUGGAUUUUACCUCCCUGAGGUCACAGUAGAGUACAUUGAAGCCAGUAAUUCUAUCUCCCUGGGUAGCAGUGGAAUAGAUUGAAGAUUACAGAUCUUAUCUCCCUAAGCAGUAGUGGAGUAGAUCAAUGAUGGUGGAUUUUACCUCCCUGAGGUUACAGUGGAGUACAUUGAAGCCAGUAAUUCUAUCUCCCUGGGCAGCAGUAGAAUAGAUUGAAUAUUACAGAUAUUAUCUCCCUAGACAGUAGUGGAGCAGAUCGAAGAGGGUGGAUUUUACCUCCCUGAGGUUAAAGUGGAGUGCAUUGAAGCCAGUAAUUCUAUCUCCCUAGGCAACAGUGGAAUAGAUUGAAGAUUACAGAUCUUAUCUCCCUAGGAAGUAGUGGAGUAGAUCAAAGAUGGCAAAUUUUACCUCCCUGAGGUUACAGUGGAGUACAUUGAAGCCAGUAUUCCUAUCUCCUUGAAGUUGUAAUAGAGUGGAUUAAAACCACGGAUCUCAUCUCUCUGAAGUUGCAGUAGAGCAGAUCGCAUCAAGAUUUAUCUUUUGGUUGUAGCAGAACAAAUUGAAGUUAUAAGUCUUAUCUCCCUGAAAUUGCAGUAGAGCAGAUUAAAGAUAGCGAAUUUUGUUCUUGUGAAAAGCUACAAGGUACGAAUCCUAUCUCCCUAACAUUGCAGUGGAGUAGAUGGAAACGCUAGUUCCUAUGCCUCUCAAAAUGCAGUAGGAAGGAAUGAUGCUACCUAAAAAAGAGAAGCACUGAAGAAAUCGAGGCUUAGUAGGACCGGGCACAAUUGGGCCCUGUAGUCUUUGCUCUGUUCCCGUUACACGACAACGAGCAAAGAGGGGUAGCUGUAGUAGGCCCAAAUUAGCCCGAGCCCGUGUGAAAUAAACAAUGGGGCACAACUCAGUUUUUUACAAGCCCAACAAGCAGCCCACAACAUUUUCAGCAGAAACCCUAAACAGUUCAACUCAAACCCUAGCCGCAGCAAGCCCCGCCUCCAUCAGACUCCCUAGGCGCCGUACGUCUCGGGGCUAACUGCCUCCCCCGCGUCGUGCUCUUCACGAUUUCCUGCAAAAGUGGACUAGAAAUAGUCUAAAAAGGAGAAAAUACUGUAAAUGGCUUAUAUUUUUAGGCUAUAUAAAGGGUAUCUAUUUUCUAAACAAGGGGGGAAUUUUGGAGUGUAAAAAAACAGAGGAAAAUAGAGAGAAAUACUGAGAUUCCAAAGAUUUUUUUUUCGAAGGUGAAUCGUGUUUUUUUCUUUAUUUUUUUAUAUUUUUCUUAUUUAUUUUUCAUUUAAAAUAUAAAGAAAAGGAAGGAAAAACUUACCUUUACGCCGAACCCGCCGAGUCGUGGCCAUCUCCGUCGCAAUCGGAGCCUUGGCGCAAAGGGGAGCGGCGGUGCUCAAAGGGUUGAGGGAACCCUAAAAAAUUCUCACAGAAAAAAGAAAGAAUCUGAAACUUUCUUUUAGUUUUAAUUUUGUUUCUUUUAAAAUUUAAAAGCAAAAGACGAAGUGGUGCUGUUUGGGGAAGGGGGUCCGCGCGUCAGACCUUAAAUGGUCUAUUUGUGCAUUCGGUCCCCCUGUUCCAGCAGUGCGUUUAAAUUGAAUUUCUGAUUUCUUUUAGAUUUUCCCGCAUUUUUAUUUUUGUUCCAUCUUGCUCAUCGCUGCGCAGCGUUUUAGGAAGGCGGGAAUAAUUUCUCUUUUGGUCCUCCAUCCUUGCGCGCACAUUCAAUGUGGUCCUGUUUUCAAAUUUACUUCGAAUUUGGCCUUUUUUUUCUUUUUUAAUUCAAUUUAACCCUUUUAUUAACUAUUUUAUUCAUUUUUUUAAUAAUUAUGCUAUACUAUGACUUUAUUAUUAUCAUUAUUAUUAUUAUUCCUACUAUAUAUAUACGCAUGUUUUAAAAUAAUACAUAUACAUACAUUUUUUUAAAAAGCUUUUAAUACAUACAUAUAUCUUUCUAUAUACAAACAUUUGUUAUACUUUUGUAAAAAUGAAUAUACGUAUUUUUAUGUUAUCCUUCAUAGAUUUUUUUACAAACGUGUGUAUAUAUGCAUACCUACAUAUUUUAAUACAUAUUUUAAAACAUUCAUUUUCUAUAGUAUAAAUAUAUAUAUAUUUUUGGUUUUUAAAUUAAUAUAUUAUUUUAUAUAUGCUCCAUUAUUUUAUAUACAUAUUGUACAUAUUUUUUUAUAUUUUUACUUUAUUUGCACAAUUCUCAUAUACAUAUAUACAUGCAUUUUUAGAAAUUAUUAUAAGUUUUUAUGUAUUUUAUUCCCUUUUUAUAUGUAUACUUAUAUAUGUGUUUUAUAUAUGCAUUAACAUUUUAUCAUGUUUUUAAAGAAAAUACAUUUUGGUUUCGUCAAAACAUUAAAAUCGUUUUUUAAAUAUUUUUUAAAUAUUUGGCAAUCAUGAUUCUCGAGAAAGAUCGUGUCCUAACUUACUGGAUUGCGGUUAUUCUUCGAUGAAUUUAGAACGCUAAGUAUUCAUUUUGCAUUAAAUUCGCAAAUUUUAAAUAAAAGCUUAUUCUUGGGAGUUCAAAAAUGUUAGGUCCUAACUUACUGGUCCUGAUAUUUUGACUUCUCGAAAUAAGAAUUUUCAAAAGUAAAAGGCAAUAUUCGGGUAUUUUGAAUAUUUAAAAAUAUUGUGCCCUAACUCACCGGGUGUGGUGUUUUAUUUCUUUGAAAUAAGAAUGUCUUACUAUUUUGAUUCAUUCAUGAAAUAAAAAGUUUUCUUUUAAAAUCUUUUCAAAUUUUCGACCCCAAGACAUUAAAUAAUCAAUUUGGUACCGAUUUUGGGCGUUUCGAGGGUGCUAACCCUUCCUCGUGCGUAACUGACUCCCGAACCUGUUUUCUCAAAUUUCGCAGACCAAAAUUGUUUUUAAGGUGAGCCGAUCACACCCCAAUCAAGGAUCGGUGGCGACUCCAAUUUUUAUUUUUAAAGUCGACAACUAAAUUUUUGUUUUUUAAAAAAACGGUUUCGACAUACAUGAUAAGCAAAUAGAGGUGAGUAUCAUGAUUGAAUUGAAUGAAAUAUAUAUAUAUAUAUAUACGUAUUGGUAUUGAAUUGUAUAUUGAUUAGAAAGUGGGAAGUGAAUCUGAAUUGAAUUGUGAUUGAAUCGAAAGUGAAUUUGAAAUAGAAAAAUGUAUUGAAUCAAAUGGUGAUUAAAUUGAAAUGAUUUUAAUUGAAAGUAUGAGAAAGUGAUUGAAUUGAAAUGUGAUUCAGAAACCCUAUUAACUAGUCAGGCUGAGUCAGAUAUAGUUGGCAUGCCAUAGGAUUGGAAGAGUUCAGGGAUACUUCGACCUCGAGUUGAUGAGACAUUGGGUGUCAUACUGUUACUUCAGAUAGAUUCGAUGAGGUACUGGGUACCAACUUACUUCGGCUUGGCCGAUGAGACACUGGGUGUCACUUUAUUGCUUCGAACUAUCCGAUGAGGCACUGGGUGCCAUUCUGGUGUGUUUGGUUGGAUCCGUGUAUCCGCCAAAGUCUGAGUCAAGUUAAUAGGGGUAAAUGAAUAAUUUUGAUAAUAUAAAUUUUAUUGAAUGAUCUUGAAUAUGAAUUGAAAUAAGAUAUUAAAUCGAGAUAUGGAAAUGAAAUGUAUGAAACAUGGGUUAAAGAAAUAGAUAACGAUAUAGUUCAUGAAAUUGUUUUGAUAGUAUGAGAUGAUGUAAAAAUAUAAGUAAAGAAAAGCAAAUUGAAAUAGCUAUUGUUGAGAAAUGAGAAGUGAAAAUAAAAUGAUUUGAAAUAGUGAAAUAAUAUGUGAAUUUAAUUGAAUACAAGUUAUUGAAAUUUAUUUAUGGAUCUAAUGAAUAAAUUGAGUGUUAAAAGAUUAUAAGUGUAAACUGAUUAUAAAUGAACGAAUCGAAUUAAAAGAUAGUUAUUAUUAUUAUUGUUGUUGAAACAAGUUGAUUUAAUGUAUUAAAUGUUUAUUGAAAGAUUAAUGGUUUAAAUUGAAUUAAGAAAUAGUGUAUGAGUUGAUUUGAAUACAAUUUUAUAAAAUUAAAUAUUAUUAUUAUUAUUGAAACAUAUUGGUCUAAAUGUUUUAAUUUGAUUAUUAAAAGAUUUAAAGUAUAAAUUGGAUAUAAAUAGAAAUGAUAAUGAAUGAGUUGAUAAAUUGAUUGAAUUUGUAUGAAUUUGGAAUGAGUUAUUAAAAUGAGAUGUUGAAAAAUCCAAUAAAAUUUAGAUAGUGAAAUAAGGUAUGAAUACAAUUAAAUAUAAAAUUGAAAUAUUGCUUAUUGUUAUUAGUGAUGAAGUUGUUUUAAAGUAUGAGACAAUUAAUGAAUAAUUGUAGACAUAAAUUAAAUGUAUAUAAUUUAUCGAUUAAUGUUAGAAAUUUGCAUUAUGGAAAUACCACUGAGUAUUCUCAUGCUCAGCGUACGGUUGUUUCCGUGCGCAGGUUAGUAGAAAACCAGUGUUCGGUCCAGCAUUCAGAGUAAUCCCGACCUCAGAAAAAUUUUAGUGAUGUACUUUUUGUAACAACCCGGUUUUGACCCUAAUCGGAAUAGUGGUUUUGGGACCACAAAUCCGAAUAAAAAAAAUAAUAUUUUAAUAUUAUUUCAUGUGUUUAUUAUAUGUUAAUUUACAUGUGUGAAAAUUUCGUGAAUUAAUUUUAUUGUUGUGUGCUUAAUUUAAUAAAAGGACUUAAUCGCGUAAAAUGUGAAAUUUACUAAUUAAUGUGUAAAGUGCUAACUUGCUAAUGCCUUUAUAAUGUGAAGUCCUUAAUAGGAAAUUAGGCCAUUAUUCAAGAUAGUGGAUGACAUUAUGCUUAUAAAUUAUAGUUUUUAUAUUAUGUAUAAAGGUUAUAAUAAUAUAUUAUAUUAUAAAGUUAAUAUAUUAAAAGACAAACAAAUUAAAAGCCACACUUUUCAUCUUAUUUUGACCGAAACUAGAGAAAAGAAAAAGAAAGAAACCUAAGCUAGGUUCGGCCAUCUUUUGAAGCUUAAUUCAAGGUUAGUUUUUGUUCGGUUUUUGAUAACUUUUACGUUUUUGAGAUCGUUGCUUUGAAUACUACCCGACCCAUGCUUGAAUUUCUGAUUUUAAUGAAUAUUUUGAGUUAUGCCAUUGGUGAAUAUUUGUGCUUUGUGAUGUUUGAUGAUGAAUAAUGGAAGAUAUGUCUUAGAUUAACAUGUUUUGUCUUGGGAUUUUUGAUGAAUUUGAGUAUUUAGGGCUAAAUUGUGAAAAUAAAUUUUUGAGGGACUAAAAUGUGAAAUAAAUGCAAUGUGUGGACUUGUAUGAGAACCAUGAAUAUUCGGCCCUUGUGUGGUAUGGGCAAAUUUUGUGUAUUUUCUGUUUUGUGCAAAAAGGACUAAAUUGCAAAAAGUGUAAAAUGUUAGGGGCAAAAUGGUAAUUUUCCCAUUUAUGUAUUUUUGGACUUAAUUGAAUGUUUUGAUGAAUGAAAAGGUUAAAUUUGAUUAUGUUUAGAUCAAGAAACGAAGAAAACGAAUUUGGAUCGGGGAAAAACGAAAGUAAUCGAAUAGUCGAUCGUGUCCGCUGAUAUCCGAUGU
rnacentral:lncRNA from 1 species